rnacentral:rRNA from 1 species
GUGCCAGCAGCUGCGGUAAUACGAAGGGGGCUAGCGUUGUUCGGAAUUACUGGGCGUAAAGCGCACGUAGGCGGAUCGGUCAGUUAGGGGUGAAAUCCCAGGGCUCAACCCUGGAAUUGCCUUUAAUACUGCUGGUCUUGAGUUCGAGAGGGGUGAGGUGGAAUUCCGAGUGUAGAGGUGAAAUUCGUAGAUAUUCGGAGGAACACCAGUGGCGAAGGCGGCUCACGUGGCUCGAUACUGACG